CGCCAACGAAAACUUCUCAGCGAGUGUGGGACCAUCUCCGCUAUUCUUUUGCUUACUUCUAGGAAAUCAUUUGACCUUGUAAAAUUGCAAGUAUGUUUUUCGUUUUCUAAAAAGGCGUUAUCGGUAAUGUUGUCAGCUACCGUGGAACGGAAAGCACAUUUUGUUAUUGCAAGAUGAAGGCCAUUUUCGAGUGUAAGGAAACAAAAGAGAUUCUGCUGUAAUGAAGUUGCUGGAAAGAGAGCACACGGUUGGAAGCUGGUGACUUGCUGAAAUAAUGAUUUAUGGAUUCUUUGUUUCAGAUGAGCAGUUGUAAUAUUUUAAUACAUUUUCCCACCAAAGUGUUUUUCCUGUCCCUCUCUUGUAUUUGUAUAUGGAGAUCCUCUGCUGAGAUAGCUCCACCGGAGACAGCUUGAAAGAAGAUUCUCCGAGGAAAAAAGCACAUCUGGCUGAGUUCUCACCAACUUCUGUUUCUGGGGUUGCAACCCUGAGCAAACACCUCCUUGGUUUGCAGCUUUGGCUCUGCAGUCAUUUCUUGGCUCCAGAUGUACACUUCUGCUAUCAAAGUUUGGCUGACUUGCUGCAACAGUGCCUUUGUUGUGUUGUGGAGCAAAGGAAGUUAUUGGGAAAAGAGGAUGUAAUUGAAACAAGCAACUCUAUGCUUAAAAAGGGCAAUCCUAGCCAUACACAUUCCACCUGCUGUAACUUUUAUCCCUUGCCAGUGUAUUGCACUGAUUUGACCACUGAAUCUUUGGCAAAAACCAAAACCCAAGAUCAGUGGCGUAGCGUGGGGGGUGCAGGGGGGGCCGGCCGUACCAGGCGCAACAUCUGGGGGGGCGCGCUCGCACUCACAGCUCUCUGCCCCUACCUGGCUCACUCACUCUAGGGGGCGCAAAUUACUUGCCUUGCCCCGGGUGCUGACAACCCACGCUACACCACUCUUCAUUCAGCAAGAGCCAGGACAUGGGCCAAGGUCUACAAUGAAAUCCAGACCCUCCAAGUGUCCCUAUUUUCCAGGGACAGUCUUGGAUUCAAAGAAGCCAUCCCAGUUUCUGAGUUGAUACCAGAAUGUCCAACUUUUUCUUUGGAUGUACCUAUGGUAUUUUCAUCAGAGAAAUGUUAGAAAUGUUGAAGGGUAUGGUAGGAUGUCCCUAUUUUCAUUGGAGGGUAAGGAGUCAUGUGACUCCUGAGUCAAGGGGAUAAGUUAACUAUACAACCUUUGGAAGACAUCUGAAGGUAGCCCUGUAUAGGGAAGUUUUAAAUAUUUAAUGUUUUAUUAUGUUUUUAUAUAUGUUGGAAGCUGCCCAGAGUAGCUGGGGCAGCCCAGUCAGAUGGGCGGGGUAUAAAUAAUAAAAUUAUUUUUGUUAUGGAAUAGGACAUCCCUAUUUUCAUUGAAGAAAUGUUGGUGAGUAUGAAAGGGGCUUGCAACCAUGUCAUUUUCUUGGCCUACUCAGAGUAGACUCAUUGAAUCUAAUGAGCACAACUUAGGCCAAUUAAUUUCAGUGUGCCCACUCUGAGUGAGACUUAGCCAGAUGCAGUCCUUCUACAUUUUCUGCUUCUUGUGAGAUUCGGCAGGGUCACCUCCUGACCCAGGAUAAAGAACACUGGGAAUGGCCAUAGCUGAAUUCCCUGCAUCUCCAGGGAGGGACCCCUGUCUGAAAUCCCAGAGACUUGCUGCCAGUUGAUACAGAAAAUACUGAGCUAGAUGGAUUUCAAGCAAAUGUUGUAUAUGCACAAUGGGGCCACGUACAUCUUCUGCCAGGCUGGUGGAUGAACAAGGCUCAGUCAGUGUGGCCAGAGCACAAUCCUGCUCCCACUCUACCUGUUCAGCACACGCCCCAUUUAAAGGUAAAGGACCACUGACAAUUAAGUCCAGUUGUAGAUGAUUCUGGGGCUGCGGCGCUCAUCUCACUUUACUGGUCAAGGGAGCCAGCGUUUGUCCACAGACAGUUUUUCCGAGUCAUGUGGUCAGUAUGACUAAGCCGCUUCUGGCAAAACCAGAGCAGCACACGGAAAUGCCGUUUACCUUCCCACCAGAGCGGUACCUAUUUAUCUACUCGCACUCUGAUGUGCUUUCGAACUACUAGGUUGCCAGGAGCAGGGACCGAGCAACAGGAGCUCACCCUGUCACAGGGAUUCGAACUGCCGACCUUCCGAUCGGCAAGCCCAGAAGCUCAGUGGCUUACACCACAGUGCCACCUGUGUUAGAAGGUGCAAAAAAAUACAUUUCUGUAUCAACGGCAAAGCUAACAUGAAACUCCAGGGUCAUUAGAUCUUCAAGGCAGACAGGCGCAUGAGCAAGCUUUCUAGGAAAUGAUAUAUAAUGAAAUGAAAAAAAAUGUUUAAAAUAACCUUUGUUAUGAAGCCAGAAGCUUUUUAUUAGGAAUUACAGGUACUGACAUUCCAAAGGAGCAGAAAAGACUUUUCAUGUAUGGAACAACAGCCGCCCAGAUGUUACUAACCCAGAGAUGGAAAGAAGACAAGGUCCCUACCAGAGAGGAAUGGCAAACCAAUCUGAUGAAUUAUGCCGAAAUGGCAAAACUGGCUGGAAAACUUGGAAACCAAGAGGAUAAAAACUUUAUAAAGAAUGGGGAAAAUAAUAAGUUGUUUAGGAGACCACUGUAAGCGGAUGGAAACAUGGGCAGGAUUUUGAUCUCACUUGUAGUAUAACAAUUGCCAUGGAUAACAUGGAUUGAUAUAAAAGUUAGAGUAUGGAAGAAUAUGCAGUUUUAAUGUUCAAAAUAAGACCCCCAUGGAGGCCGUGGGGGGGAAGUCCUGAGAUUGGCAGGAUAUGGAUAUAUAAAGUGGUACCUUGGGUUAAGUACUUAAUUCGUUCCGGAGGUCCGUUCUUAAUCUGAAACUGUUCUCAACCUGAAGCGCCACUUUAGCUAAUGGGGCCUCCUGCUGCUGGAGCCCGAUUUCUGUUCUUAUCCUGAUGCAAAGUUCUUAACCUGAAGCACUAUUUCUGGGUUAGCGGAGUCUGUAAGCUGAAGCGUAUGUAACCUGAAGCGUAUGUAACCCGAGGUACCACUGUAUUUGGAUUUUUAUAACUUUGUAUUUGUAAAACCAAAUAAAAAUGAUUUUUAAAAAGGGGGAGGGAGAAAUAAAGACUCAUCACAAGGAAAAAAAGAGAGACCCUGGGCUCUAGAUAGCUUUCUUCCAGAUGCCAAAUCCAGCCAAGUGGAACCGAGUUCAAGUGAACAAAAUUAGCACAUUGGGAAAGUGGGUCGGCUAGAGCUGUGCAAAGUUCAGUAUCUGGAGAAAGAAUAUAAGCACCUAAGAACAGCCUGGCUAGAUUGGGCAAAAGGCUCAUCUAGUCCAGCAAUCUGUUUUUACGGCAGGGAAGAGGACGGUAUUCAGAGGCAGAUUGCCCAGCAGUGGAGGUAGGACACAAACAUCACGGCUAGUAGCUAUUGAUAGCCUUAUACUUCAUGAAUUUCUCCACCAGCUCAAUUCAGUUCUCCACCCUCUCAAUUAUGUAAGCCUGAGUUCUUAUAUUUCAUUCCUUAAAGCUCUGUGAGCAAAACUUUAAUUUGCGAGUCUUUUAACUUACGGUGGAUAUUUAGAAUGCCAGCGCCAAAUAACUGCACCCAGUAUAUUUUCUAGAAAAGGGGUGGGAUCCUUUAUCUCUCCAGAUAUUCCUGGCCUAAAGGUAAAGGGACCCCUGACUGUUAGGUCCAGUCAUGGCCGACUCUGGGGUUGCGGUGCUCAUCUCGCUUUAUUGGCUGAGGGAGCCAGUGUACAGCUUCCGGAAGCCGCUUCUGGCGAACCAGAGCAGCGCACAGAAAUGCCGUUUACCUUCCCGCCGGAGCAGUACCUAUUUAUCUACUUGCACUUUGACGUGCUUUCAAACUGCUAGGUUGGCAGGAGCAGGGACCGAGCAACGGGAAAUUCCACAGUAUUUGAAGGACCAGAGGUUCCCCAUCAUCUUCAGGUGAGACGGGGAAUGUCCCUCCUCCUCUGGAAAGCUGAUGCCAGUCGGUGUAGACAAUGUCUAGAUGAGCCAACAGUCUGACUGAAUAUAAGGCAUCUUCCCAUGUUCCCCAUCCCUGCUCUAGAUGGAAACGUAUCUGGCCUUUAUUCUAGUUCAUUAUAAGUAAUUCGUCUUGUCUGGCAACCAGCUUUGCUUUCCAGAGUCUGAAUAGCAGUGAGUUGUUGAGAAAGCCAUUCCAUCACCUGACUGUUAUUACUAUUAUUAUUAUUUUACCACAGGGCAUAUUGAGGCAGAAUUCAGCAUGCCCCUUUGUCACACUUUUAUUUCUUCUAAAUUAGCUCUGAGUAAUACAUGAUUAAUUUAGCAACAGCUCUGGCGCUCUGUGGAGACCUCCUUGCCAUUUGUCCUCAUUACCUUUCGGGCCAAGAAAUAGGGAGACCACAUGAAAUGGCAGCCCCACUGAGCUCGCCAAUUCACAGCGUUCAGCAGGUACCCACCCCCACAGUUCUUCCUGUUUGCACACUUUGCUUUUUAAACUUACGAUGAACAAACCAAGCAGAAUCCGCCAGGUGUACAUAACUGGUCACCAUAAAUCUACCUACCUAUCUAUCUAUCUAUCUAUCUAUCAUCUCUCUCUCAUCUUGUAGAAAAGGCUUUCUCUAAAUCAUAUAAGUUUGUAAUUAAAACUCAGACUUCUAAAAACUUUCCUGCUCCUAACACGUGAACCUUUCCCCCACUUUCUUUCACAAAAAUAAUAAUAAUUUGCUCUCUGGUUUUUAAUUUUUAAGUCACCACAGCCAUAUUUCCAUUGUUUUAUAUGAACUUAGAGCUAUCUGAGCUUGCUCAAAACAACUACCAGACUUUUAGAAGACAUCUGAAGGCAGCCCUGUUUAGGAAGCUUUUAAUGUUUUUAAUGUAUUUAAAUAUUUUGUUGGAAGCUGCCCAGAGUGGCUGGGGAAACCCAGCCAGAUGGGUGGGGUAUGAAUAAUAAAUAAUUAUUAUUAUAUGCACCACCAGUGCUAUUUUUCUAGAAAAAGAGGUGCCGGAAUUCACCAUGAACACCUCUCUUGUUCUCUUAGAAUGGCAAUGGCGCCCAGCUGAGAGGUGCUGGAACUGAGUUCCAGCUGAAACCCCCCUGUACACCAUGUUUAAAACAGCCAUAUCUAUUCUUCUUUAUAAAUGUAUUCCAUUAUUUCAAACAGCAAAUACAGACAGAACUCAACGGUCCAAUGAAAGCAUAUCAUAGAAAGCCACAAUUUUCACAAAUACACAGAAAUAAAUUUGUGCCUCAAAUUACUACUAAUACUCUUGUCUUCCUUAACAGAGAACCUUUGCAACCCUGUAACUUUGACAGCAUGUAUCAGCAGCUCCCACCAUUGGGGUCACAUCCACACCAUACACUUAAAAGGGACAUGGGUGGCACUGUGGUCUAAACCACUGAGCCUCUUGGGUUUGCGGAUCAGAAGGUCAGCAGUUCGAAUCCCCGCAACGGGAUGAGCUCCCGUUGCUUCUGCCAACCUAGCAGUUCGAAAGCAUGCCAGUGCAAGUAAAUAAAUAGGUACCGAUUUGGUGGGAAGGUAAACAGCAUUUCCGUGCAUUCGUGAUUUCCAUCACAAUGUCCUGUUGCACCAGAAGUGGUUUAGUCCUGGUGGCCACAUGACCCGGAAAGCACUCUGUAGACAAAUGCUGGAUCCCUCAGCCUGAAAAGCGAGAUGAGCACCACACCCCAUAGUCGCCUUUGGCUGGACUUAACUGUCCAGGAGUUCUUACCUUUUACCUUUAUACAUUUAAAGCAUAUGGUUUUCCCCCCAAGAAUCAUGGGAACAGUUGUUUUUUAAGGAUGUUGAGAACUGUAGCUCUGUGUGUGUGUGGUAAACUACAGUUCCCAGGCUUUUUUGAGGAAGUUGUGUGCUUUAAAUGUAUGGCAUGAAUAUGACCUACGGCACAUAAGAUGCCAGAAGGGUAAUGGUCUGCAAAUUCCUGUUCAUGAAAGACACAAAUGGGAGCCACACUUUUUCAAAGUAACUGUCAUUUACCAUGCUCCUUAGUACCUUGCUGUGUCAAAUGACCCUCAAAAUAACACACAGCAGCAGGCAGCGAUAUGAGAGGAAGCAAAUAGACGCUAUGGCAGCUGAGGCAGCUACCAACUAUUUCAAUUUCGAAACAUUCUGACCCCAGGGCAAGAGUGGCAGUGGUCUCAGCUUAUCAGGCACCAUCCUCAGAGUCUCAUGGGGUGAAUAAGAGCAAUGAAGGGGGGGCUGAGGGAUCUUGGGCUGCCCUCUCACUGCUCUCGCACUCUAUUAAAGGGGGACCCUAUAAAAUCAUUAAAUCCAAAAGUCUACCAUUGUGUACCUUCACACCUUUGCAGAUGAUAUGAAACCUGGAGAUACUCUAAGUUGGAGAAGGUAGCAGGUCCAAUGUGGAGAACCUGAUCAAUGCACAGAAAACCAGCUCACUAGAUGUGAUCCUGUUCCCUUCUCUACAGUUUGAAUAUCCCUGGACUUCAUGUGUUGCAGGUGCAACCAAUGGCUUGGACACAGUUAAGUUUGUUGAUAGAAAGCACUACUGAAAGACUUGCCAGGGGCUUAAAGGGUUGAGCCGUGUGGCCUGAGAUGAUGAUGAUGAUUUAUUGAAUUUAUAUACCGCCCUAUACCCAGGGGGUCUCAGGGCAGUUCACAGAAUAAAAUCAAGAUAUAAAACCACAAAAUAAAAACAAAAACAACCCAAUAGCCCCCCAAUUAUGCUGAUUAUCAAGAUACAAUGUCUUCUGGAGUGUGUCAAACAAGAUGUGGUUCUUUAGCUCCUUAAGACAUACAGAGUAUAAGACAUUCACAUUAUUUUGGGAUGAUUCCUUUAUGUGCUCAGUGAAUUACAUAUAAUUUCACAGGUGUAAUUGUGUGUGUUUAAAAAAAUAUGCCUGUGAAAUUCUACAAUACAGUGGUACCUCGGGUUACAUACACUUCAGGUUACAGGCACCGCUAACCCAGAAAUAGUACCUCGGGUUAAGAACUUUGCUUCAGGAUGAGAACAGAAAUUGUGCUCCGGAGGUGCGGCAGCAGCAGGAGGCCCCAUUAGCUAAAGUGGUGCUUCAGGUUAAGAACAGUUUCAGGUUAAGAACGGGCCUCCGGAACGAAUUAAGUACUUAACCUGAGGCACCACUGUGACUGUUGAGCACAUCCUCAAAUGAUAUGGAUGCGAUUCUUUUGCUCUGCGUUCUGACCCUAUUCUAUUAAUCGGUCUCUUUCGCCUGUUGUUUGGUUGUCUUGACUGUAUCUUGUUUUGAAACUGUUCUGUGGGUCUAUGGACCGCUACACACACACACACACACACACAUGCAAAGCACUCAAAGCAAACAAGUUGUUGACCAAGGAUUUAAAAGUUCUCCUGAUGGAGAGAGAGAGAGAAAAUACCCAAGCAAUACUUCACUCUUGCAAAGCACUUGUGCACAUUCCAAAAAUUAUCAGGCGGCAGCUUGCUCUUUAAAAAUGACCCAGUCACGCUGCAUGAGGAUUUCCCCAACCAGUGUCCCCCCCCCAUCUCCUGCAAUUAGAUCAACUUCUAACAUACAAGAAAUACACCUUGCUUGUUUUGCUGGGUGCACAGGCAUGUUUUAUUGCAUCAGAACGUACAGACAUAACUGCUGGCAAACGAUGAGAGACCUGAAGAAGUUUUAUUAUGCUUCUAAACACCAGGUGCUUGCUGUGUGGCUGCUGGGGUCCAGAGUGCCUGGAAUAUUGCUUCUGCCCUCCCCUAAAUUUAAUUUUAUUCGCUCUCACCUGGUGGACGGGUAUGAGUUCCAGCAAGGAUAUAGUAAUUAUUAAUGUAGCUAUUCAAUGAGGCAAGGCAAUUUGCACAGAUUAUUUCUUGCAUUUUCAAGAUGGUAAGAUUACGUACUUUGAUCCUGCACAGGAGAGCACUGAAAAUCACUUUGCAUUGUCUGGGAUGGUAUUAAACUAUGCUGGCUGCCUUCUCAGUACCUUGCAAGACAUUGGAUCACCUCUGCUAAGGGAUGUAUGUGAAUGCUGUCCCAGAAGAAACCUUUCUGAGUCCUCUCUUGGGAACCUACGGUCAAGGUUAGAAAGUGAUCCCAUUUUGAAGAGAUGAGAUGGCUCUGAUAAUAAAUUUACCACUCCUUCCAAUGAACACUAAGGAAGAGCAUGCUAGUAUCCUCCGUCAUCAUUCCACUCUGUUUUGUGGUGGUCAGUCUGCAUUUUAGUAUUCAGUUCAGAGGAGGAAUGGGCAAAUUUGUCAAUUUCAGUUUUCUCUGUUUCUCAUUUUUUAAAAUCUUAAAGCUAAGAUUUUUGCUGCAAUUUCCAACUCCCCCCUGAAAAAACCUCAUGAAAUCCAUUUUUGUAUGGAUUUCUCCCAAUAAACAGCUUUGUAUGCAGUUAUGACUAAUAAUUUUGUAUUAUGGUUCUGGAGGAGACUCUUGAGAGUCCCAUGGACUGCAAGAAGACCAAACCUAUCUAUUCUUAAGGAAAUCAGCCCUGAGUGCUCACUGGAAGGACAGAUCCUGAAGCUGAGGCUCUAAUACUCUGGCCACCUCAAGAGAAGAGAAGACUCCCUGGAAAAGACCCUGGUGUUGGGAAAGAUGGAGGGCACAAGGAGAAGGGGACGACGGAGGACGAGAUGAUUGGACAGUGUUCUCGAAGCUACCAGCAUGAGUUUGACCAAACUGCGGGAGGCAGUGGAAGACAGGAGUGCCUGGCGUGCUGUGGUCCAUGGGGUCACGAAGAGUCGGACACGACUAAAUGACUAAACAACAAAUGACUAAUAAACAGAUUUUUCAAUCAAACCCCCCCCAAUAUUAUGCUCUUUUCCAUGCCAUUUUCACUAAUAUACACAUUUUGAGUCGUGAACAGAAUCAUAAAAUUUGGAGAAAUGCAAAUUUCAAAGGAUAGCUGUGCUUUGGUUCACAUAUUAAUUUAUUACGUCUAUUACAUGCAGUUUUGGAAAGUGCAAAAUAGGUAGUUUCUUAUUAAAAUGCAAACAAAAUAGAAUUUCCCCUCCCACUCCUAGCUCUGGGCACCACUACUUCAGCAGGAUGUUGACUAAUGAGAGAUGACAACAGAGUAGGGUGAUGUCAGAGACCAGGCUGAGGAGUACAACUCUGAUGAGGAAUGGUGGGAGCCUCCACCAACAUGGCCACAAUCCUGAAACUCCACAGGAGCAGUGUUGAUUUGGAACAAUGGCUCGCUGAGGGGCACAGUUCGGAAGGCAAUAGCUGGACAGAACUGGGAGUCGAACAGCAAGAGGAAGAAUGGGAAGAGAAUGAGCUAGCUGACUCUCAGUCCUAAGGCUAGGAGAUUAGAUAAGGUGGCUGCACAAAAGACUCAAUGGUUGAGAGAUCAGGUAGCUAGGAGACAAGAGGAUGCAAGUUACUAGAGGAAAGUGGGAGGAACCUUAAUUGGGGAGCACCUGCACUCCGAGAAUGGUCGCUUGUUCUUUUGCUGGGUUUAUUAAACAUUUCUGUUACUGGUGGUAAGAGACUGCUUUCUCUUUGUACUGCUUAUCUACGGACAAGGGGGGAGGAAGCUGAGCCCCCAAAGCCUGACAGGUGACUAGGACAGUGAGGAACCUGGAAACAAAGUCCUAUGGAUGAACUGUGAAAAUAGCUGGGCAUGUUAAGACUGAAGAAGAGAAGAUGAAUCAGAAACAUCAUAGAGGUAUUCAAAAAUUCCGAAGGCCUAGCAUGCUGAAGAUGGAUCACUGCAUAAACGAUGGAACUUGCUCCCACAGCAGACAGUGAUGGCUGCCAACUUAGAUAAGCUUUAAAUGAAGAUCAGGCAAAUUCAUGGAGGAUUGGGCUACGAAAGGCUAUUAUUCUACUUCCACAGUGAAUGCCAAUUGGUGGGAAUCACUAGUGGAACGCUCUGUCACAAGAGACUAGGGCCCUGCGGGACCUGACAUCUUUCCGCAGGGCCUGCAAGGCAGAGCUGUUCCACCAGGCCUUUGGUCAGGGCGCAGCCUGACCCCGUCCUCUGGCAAUCUGCACAGAAUUUUGCUUAAUGGUUGCCAUCAAUUUGAUUUUAAUUAAUUUUAUAAUGAAUCUUUUUAGAAUGCUGGAUUACUUUGAUUGUUGUUAGCCGCCCUGAGCCCAGCUUCGGCUGGGGAGGGCGGGAUAUAAAUAAAAUUUAUUAUUAUUAUUAGUGUGAUGCCGAGGUCCCACUAGGCUUCCCAUGGGCAUCUGUUUGGAACAGGAUACUCGGCUAGAUGAGCCUUUGGCUUGAUCCAAAAGGGCUCUUUUCAUGUUCCUAUUCCUAAUACGCUCUAUACAGCUGACUGUGCCCCCAAAUACCCCAGUAAUAAGAUCAUUAAGUUUGCAGUUGAUACAACGGUGGUUGGUUUAAUCACGGCUGGAGAGGGGGAGGCGGCCUAUAGUAAGGAAGUUGAGCAGUUGGGGGAGUGGUGCAGGAAAAACAACUUCCUCCUUUACUUAAAGAAAACAAAAGAGAUUGUUGUGGACUUUAGGAAAUGUAAAUUGAAUAUUCAGCCACUUAUUAUUGAGGGGAAGUGCGUGGAACAGGUCUCGGUGUUUCGAUUUCUGGGAAUGGAGUUGAGAGAUGACCUAACCUGGGGAAAAAUCAGUAAAGACCUGAUAAAGAGAGCACAGCAGAGGUUAUAUUUUCUGAGAAUCCUCUGGAAAAAUUAUCUCUCAAAGGACCUGUUGAUGGCAUUUUACCAUUGUACUGUUGAGAGUGUAUUAACUUAUGGUCUGUGUGUGUUGUUUGGGAGCUGCAUGGUCAGGGAAAAACCAAUGCUGUCCAGGGUUGUAAAGACUGCGGAGAGAAUAAUUGGGUGCACUCUUCCCACCUUGGAUCAAAUCUAUGCUUCCAGGUGUCAUAAGAAAGCUGCAGAGAUAGCGCAGGAUAGUGUGCACCCCGGAAACGAUCUCUUUCAGCUUCUGCCUUCUGGAAGAAGGUACAGGGUUAUAAAGACUAGGACUAGCCACCUGAGAAACAGUUUUUAUCCAAAUGCAAUUUUGGUUUUAAACGCAGUGUAAGGUAGUCUCUGUGGGAGUAUAUUGUAUUUAAUUAUGGGGUAUCAGAGUUUUUAGGGGGUUAACCAGGCUGGGAUAGCUGGGAUAGCAGGCUUGUUGGUUUUUGAAUGUCUGAUGUAGAUUUUUUCAAUUUCGUUGUUCUGUAUGGGACAAUGACAAUAAAGAUUAUCGUAAAAAAAUAUAUAUCGUAAUCACUGACUACUGCAUGUAGCUGAUGGGAGAUGGAGUCCAACAAACUCUAGAGAGCCAGAUGUUCCUUAAUCUUAAUUUAGAGCAAGACUGACCAGGUGCCAAGGGAAACAGGCCUCCUAGCUGUUUAAGCUGCAACACAUCUUUGACUGAGCAGCUGACUAUACACAUACAAUUAACCAACAGAAACAGCAAACAUACACACCCAUUUGCCUGUGAGUAAAAUCACUGAGGUAAAUGGGGCUAUGUAAAAAAAUUAAACCUUUUUGGGAUGAUGUCUAUUUAGAACUUAAAAAAUUGUUAGGGGCCUCUUUAACAAAAAACCAAAACCAAAACCCAGAGGCCUUCUUACUGGGAAUCAGAAGAUUGGAUACUCCUCCGAAGGUGAAAUAUCUUUCUACACGGUACCAUUGCCAUAAGAAUUUUAAUUGCGAGUAACUGGAAAAGUGAUAAAACCCCUUCGAGGUCAGAAUGGCUACAGAAAUUAGUUGAAUAUGCAAAAUAAGCGAAAUUAACUGAAAUAAUGAAAGAUAAGUCCAAACAUGUAUUUAUUACAAAAUGGGAACCUCUUAAAACGCAUCUUAAAAACAACUGUGGAAGUCCGAACUUGGUUGCUGCUUUUGAAUAACCUCUGUAGUUGUACCAAGUAAGAAAUAAGGAUACGGGAGAAAUAAUAUUUUACUGUAAAAUGAAUAGAUAGGUUUAUGCAAAAGGUUAGUAAAUUAGAAAUGAAGUAUGGAGAAGACGGGAAGUCAAUGAACUACAAGAAGAUUUAUUGUCAAUUAUAUAAAUUUAUCCUUUUUGGUGAAUGGUGUAAUUUGUAACAAAUGACGUAAAUACUUUCUCUUUUUGCAUUUUGUUGGCGCGUAAGCAAAAACAAACAAACAAAUAAAUAAAUAAAUAGGUAGUAAAUGGGGCUUGCUUUAAAGUAUACCUGUAUAGGAUUGCACUGUUAGCUGUGUACAAGCAUGCUAGCUUGCCACUGCAAUUGAGUGCUGAUGUCACUUGCGCAUGCUGCACAACAUGCAUGCUGCGUGGGUUGGGCGUGUGACAUCAGCAUGACGUGUGGCAUGCACAAUGGAUGUGCACAUGGUUGCCACAGAAUAUUGAGGGGUCCUGGCCCCCUCCUUGAAAAUUUUGGGGAGGGGAUUCGACCCCUCAGCCCUCUUUGAUUUUUUUUUAUAAGAUAUUUAUUAAAGUUUCCAAAGUAAAAAAAAGGUUACAAUAAUAAUAAUAAUAAGAGAGAAAAAAAGAAUAAAACAGAAAAAGAAUACAAAAUACAAAAAAGUAAAAACAAUUAAAAAACAAAUCAAUCUUUCCAUAUCUUGUCUUUCAUUUACUUGUUUCCCUGACCUCCUCACACCUCCCCUUUUUGUAUUCCAGUUCAGUAUGUUAAUUCAGCAAAUCCUUUCCCUCUUUGUUUUUAUCUUAGUCCUUUGUCUUAAUAUGUAAUAACUGUAUAUUCUCAUCUGUUAGCAGUCCUUCCUGAAGAAACCAGAGGCCUUUCUCCUGGGCAUAGUCGGCCAAUUGGUGCCAAAGAAGGAUAGAAUUUUCUUUAUGUAUGCCACAACAGCAGCAAGAAUACUCUUCGCGAAGUAUUGGAAGACACAAGAUUUACCCACCCGGGAAGAAUGGCAGAUGAAGUUGAUGGACUAUAUGGAACGGGCAGAAAUGACUGGCAGAAUCCGAGACCAGGGAGAAGAGUCGGUGGAAGAAGACUGGAAGAAAUUUAAAGACUAUUUACAGAAAUACUGUAAAAUUAAUGAAUGUUAGAAUGAUGUCGGAAUGAAGCUAAGGGGUUUUUAGUAGCAAUGUUAUAAGGAGUAUGUAAAAAUGGACUGCCCUCAGCCCUCUUUGAUGAUGCCCCUGGUUGUGUAGAAAGGCAACUUCCUGCAAGUACAGCGCUUUCACGCUACGCUGAAAAGCUGUACCUACCAACAUGCCGUCUCCUGUGCAACAACAAAAAGUACAGGAGCCGAUGCUCUCCAUUUUGUCUGGUCACACUUAGAGGAAGGUAGAUAAAAGCAGGAAGUUGGCUGGGAAUAUUCAGAAUAAGAAAAAAAAGGCGGGGGAGUCCAGUGCUGCCGAUUGUAUUGAGAAGCAGUCCCCGAGUCUGAAAGGGCUGAGAACAAUUGCUUUUAAUUAAUGGCAAGUAAUAAAUUCAUUUGGAAAACUGCGACGGACUCCCAGAUCUUCAGGGAAGAAGGAAAGCAUGUCCAACUUGGUUGGAUGAAUGAUUUAUUGUGUAUUAUUCUUUUGGCUCCACUUGUCUUGCCCACCUCCGUGAAUGGGGACACCCAUUAGCUCAGCCUCCUCACUACAUGGAGGGGAGGGGACGUCAAAUAUUGCCAGUGCCAAACCAGCCACAGAGCCGCCUCAUUCCUUCCAUUCACCGAAUGUCACUCAGUCAGUCUCUCUUUAACCUGCGGGCGGCCUUUGGGAGAAUUCAGAUGGAAGCAACUCACAGUCCUAGUCAUGUAAUCCUGUUAGCACAAAGCGAUUCUCAAUAGCUCUCGAUGGUGCGUAGCAGAAUUGGCUCGAUGAAUUAAAAACAAAACAAUCCUGUUUUUUUAUGUACAAAU